GUUGGUCCGAGAAGUGCAGGAAGAUGACAAGAACGAUGGAAGUCGACCCGGAGGAUGCCUAAGGCUGAGAAGGAUGCUAAAGGAAGCUGGAGCUCUCGGAGAAGAGGAGGAGACCGAGGGAUUCUCUCAGGCAAAGUGAAACCCCUGAAGGAGGAGGACGUAUUUAAAUAGACCCCGGGAUCCGACGCAAUAAUGAGUGCGGAUCUUCUCUGACCGACCUACACUCGCCGCGUGUCCCACUCACCAUGGCAGGCGGCUAAAAAUGGCUGAUAGCUGACAAAAUCAUUAUUGCNNNN
rnacentral:lncRNA from 1 species